rnacentral:pre_miRNA from 1 species
AGGAGGAACAACCGCAGUGGGUGUGGGGGCAGCUCUGGAGUCCUGGAUUCAGCCCCCGCAGUAACUACAGAGGUCUCCGACUGCAGGGCUUGGAUGCUCUGGGGGCGG